rnacentral:tRNA from 1 species
GGGGUUGUGGCUCAGUGGUAGAGCGCUUACUUUGCAUGUGUGAGGCACUGGGUUCGAAUCUCAGCACCG